CAAUAGCGUAUAUUAAAGUUGUUGCAGUUAAAAAGCUCGUAGUUGGAACUUGGGCCUGGCUGGCGGGUCCGCCUCACCGCGUGCACUCGUCCGGCCGGGCCUUCCUUCUGAAGAACCUCAUGCCCUUCACUGGGCGUGCUGGGGAAUCAGGACUUUUACUUUGAAAAAAUUAGAGUGUUCAAAGCAGGCCUUUGCUCGAAUACGUUAGCAUGGAAUAAUAAAAUAGGGCGUGCGUUUCUAUUUUGUUGGUUUCUAGAGACGCCGCAAUGAUUAACAGGAACAGUCGGGGGCAUCAGUAUUCAGUUGUCAGAGGUGAAAUUCUUGGAUUUACUGAAGACUAACUACUGCGAAAGCAUUUGCCAAGGAUGUUUUCAUUAA
rnacentral:rRNA from 1 species